UUUUCAUUUUGCUUAGACAAAGAAAACAAAAUGUUAGGCUGGCUUCUCAGCCUGAGGGCCUUGGAGUGAAGGAAGCUUUCUAUAGCGGGGAUCCUUUCAGCUACACUGGGCAUGAAUUAGCCUUCUAGAGAGCACACAUUCUGCAUGGAUGUGGGCAUAUCCGGAUUGUUAUUUACCUUCACUAGAGGGCAGGUAACCCAAUGCGACCACAGACCCUCCAGACUUCAGCAGGCAGAGCUGAAGAAUGUAGAUUUGGAUCUUAUAUUUGUAUAGCAUCGUUCAGACGAGACUUUGGGAGCCAAUUGUCAAAACUACCAUGAAGCUGUGAAACACUAGCUGUCCAUCAGUAAGCACGCAGGAGGCCCUGGACAACAGAGGAUUCCUCUAUCUUUUACAUAUGGAGAGGAAAUAUCAUGAAGCAGGCUCAUAAAUAAUUGCCCAUACUUGAUUUGGGAGUGAAAAGCUCCUGAAAAUGAUGCUUUAGACUCGAGGGCUGUAAUCUAAAAUUCCCUGAACUCUAUGUGAGGGGAAAAUCUUCAAGGUGAUUCGGUCAUAGCCAGGAUCCUCUUAGUUUUUGAGGGUUUUGUCUAUCUCCUCCCCUGCAAUGUUUUAGGCAAACAUGAUCAUAUCUGAUUUAUGCCAGAACACAGACAGGUAAGUAUUAUUGUCUCCAAUUCAAAGAUGAGUAACAGCAGCUUAGUGCAACUGAAAAGGCAUAUAUUGCUGGAUACCAUUACUUUCUAAAACAGGCAGAUCGUGGAAAAAGGAAGGCUGUUUGUUUUAGUGUACACUUUGACAGAUUUGGAUAUAAGAAAGUAUUCUGAAGUGAAGCAUGUCAGGCAAUACUAAAGAGAACUGAAAGGUUUUAAAUAAAAGUGAGAAUUUGGGAGUUUCUGGGGUGAAAAUGGGGAUACAGAAGAAGAAAUGAGAAUUAUUAACAAGAAAGAAGAUUCUGGAAACCACCUGUGAAAAUUUCCGUUAAAGGACUAACUGAAGGUCCUUCAGAAGGUGUUCCAGAGGAAGGCAUUGCUAUAUCAUAGGAGAAGACAACUUCAUGGCAUGUUACGGCCCCUGAAGGCCUUCCAGUGGGACAAUAUGUGGAGAUGGAAGCCAGUGUGAUAUUGAUGAUGCUGACUCUGUGUAGUCUUAGGCUAACAGAGCCAACCACAGAAUAUGAAUCCUACUGUAAAAUCUUUUAAAAAAUUGCCCAGAAGGAAAUGAUAUGUGGAUUUAUUAGGUGAGUAACAUACUAAGGAAGUGACAGCAGAACCACAAGGAGAAGAGCAAAUCUUCAGACAGGACCAUUUGGCAAGAAUCAACUGUGCCUGAAUGUGAUGCGGAACCACAUCCUUCUAACCCAACCCUGCUGGGUUGCAUGGAGUUAAGUGUCUUCCAUAAGCAAGAAGUAAAACAAACUCCAUGGGAACUCGCUAAAACUCAAGCCUCAUUUCCCAAGUUUAUUUAUUUUCUUGUUCCUGUUGACUUUUAAUAUAACACAGUCACCCAGGAAUUUUUGCACCAAUUAGUCUCUGAUUUCACCAUUUCCUAUCUAGAUUUCUGACCAAACGGCUUCUCCCAGAACAAGUUCUGAAACCUAAUCUUUAUUUCUAUGACUGUCUAACUUGUUCUUUUAUCUCCACUUGUCAGCUUUGCCCUUUCCAGCCCCGGAGGUUGCUGAUAUCACUGCAGAGUGGUAACGGGUUCUGAAGAUGGGCCAGACUGCUUGGGCUUAGAUCUUACCUUUGCAAUAUACUAGCUAUGUGUAUAAUAUUGGAGGAAGCAAUGAAUCUCUUAAAUAUCCCUUUUCUCAUCAGAAUGGUAGAGAAAAAUAAUCAGAUUCAGAAAAACAAUCACAAAAAGGAAAAAGUGUAAAAACAUACGGUUCUCAGAGGAAAGAUGGCAAAUAAUCAAAUACAUAAAUUACAAGAGAUGAAUUUUUUGGAUGCAAUUUUCUUUUAUCAAAUUGUUAGAAUUCUAGGAAAAAUUUUGGUGAUAUCUAGUAUAAGGGUCUGAGAGAAUAAGAACUUUAACAAAUUCUUGUUAAAAAAAUAAUUCUGACUUUUUGAAAAUAAUGGUCUCUCUCUAAAGGGAUAUUUUUAAUGUACUUCAUAUGAAUACUUGUGUAUGUGCAACAACAUAUAUGUAAUUGGAUGUUGACUGAAAAUGUUAUAUUGGCACAAAAUGCAAACAUGUGAAAUAUAUUAAUAAUAGAAUAUUAUCAUGCUAUAUAAUUAUAUGUAUUAUAUAUUAUAAAAAUAUUAUUCUAAUUAUUGUGAAGUGAAAAAACAGGAAUAACAAAUAAGUACCAUACUUAAGAACAAUAGAUAAAUAAGAACAGUUUAUAUUUUAGUCCCAGCUUUCUAAUCACUGCAGGUCAAACUAGGAUUGGGUGCUGGUUCAGUUAUUUAAGUCAAUGCUUCUCAAAUCUUUGGGUUUCAUUGAUCAGAAAAUUUCACAAGCAGGCCGGGUACAGUGGCUCACACCUGUAAUCCCAGCACUUUGGGAGGAUGAGGCAGGUGGAUCACCUGAAGUCAGGAGUUUGAGAUUUGCCUGGCCAACAUGGUGAAACCUAUCUCUACUAAAAAUACGAAAAUUAGCUGGGUGUGGUGGUGCGUGCCUAUAAUCCCAGCUACUUGGGAGGCUGAGGCAGGAGAAUCACUUGAACUUGGGAGGCGGAUCCAGGAGGCAGAGGUUGCAGUGAGCAGAGAUCCCACCACUGUACUCUAGCCUGGGUGACAGAGUGAGACUGUCUCAAAAAAAAAAAAAAAAAAAAAAAAGAAAAAGAAAAUUUCACAAACAAAAUAGUAACCUACAUAGAGUUGCCAAAGUGUAUUUUGCUAAAUUAAGCAAUUAAGAUACCAAUCAUCCACUUUCACCAUCAAUUCCUUAAGAAAACAUUUUAACAUCAAAAUAGUAAAAACAAAUGCUUAUCUCAAAAUAACAGAAAGUUGGCCAGGCAUUGUGGCUCACAUCUGUAAUCCCAGCACUUUGGGAGUCCAAGGAGGGUGGACAACUUGAGGUCAGGAGUUCGACCUCAACCUGGCCAAUAUGGUGAAACCCUGUCUCUACUAAAAGUACAAAAAAAUUAGCUGGGUGUGGUGGUGGGCACCUGUAAUCCCAGACUCGGAAGUCUGUGGCAGGAGAAUUCCUUGAACCCGGGAGGUGGAGGUUGCAGUGAGCCAAGAUGAUUGUGCCACUGCACUCCAACCUUUGGGACAGAGCAAGACUCUGUCUCAAAAACAAAACAAACAACAAAAAAAACCAGAAAGUUAUUUCAGACAAAAAAAAAAUGGAUUUCAGGAAAAAUCAACUGUUUCACUCUAGUUUUUUCUGUUCUCAUAGUAGGCUUCUAAAUAUUUUGUCAUAUAACUGCAGCUUGUCACUUAUGAAAUACUGAUUUAGAUAUUUCUCUUUCAUUAGUGUCUAUUUCCAGCAAAUAGAGAAAAAAGAACCAUUUUAUACAACUAAAGAAAAGAUGAGCUGAAAAUCAAGCUUUAGCUGGGAUAGAAAUGUAAACAAUGCUCAAUGCAGAAGGUAAAUUUUAAUCUUAGAACCAAAAGUUGUCUUGCCAAUAAACCAUGCCAGCAAUUCUCAAUGCAGGUCAUUCACUGGAAUCAUCUAGAGACUUACAAAAGAAGUAUGAUACACUGAUCCCAUCUCUAGAGAUUCUGAUUCAACUAGUCUGGUGUGAGGCCCAAACUCAGAUAUUAUUUUAACAGUUCCCCACAUGAUUAUAAUAAGUGGCAAGAGUUGAUUGCCACUGAUCGAAUCUGUUUUGUUUUUCAGUAAUGAGAAACAGUUUAUAAAGUGAAUUCUAACAUGUUUUCCUUUUAAGAUAAUUUGAAAAGCAAACAAAAUAAAUUAAAAAACAAGAAAGUUUGGGUUUUCAGCAAUAAUGUUCAAAUAUCUCAUUUUGCCCUAAAAUACUAAGGAUCAAAUAAUUUAAAUAACUUACCUAGAGUUGCAGGCCUACAUCAAAAUAUUGAUAUCAAUGUAAAAUAUAUACAUAAACUGUUUCUUUGUGUGAAGAUGAUUAAUAUUUAUUCAAAAUAUCAUGACUUAAAGGAAUUAAUAAUGCAUUCUCACAUAUUGAUUUUAAGGUGAAAACUGAGUUGCCUUUUAAAAAGAAACUUCCUCUUCAUGAAAGACUUGACUUGCAUUAGUAUAAGUUAUGGGUGUAUUUCCUAAGUUGUUAAAUUUUGAGGACAAGCUUAAGAUCUGAUGAAUCAGAAAGUGUUGAUUCUCUUUGAACAAAGUACCCCAAUUAACUGUAGGCCAGUAUUUCUCAAAGUGUGAUACUAUAAAUCACACUUGUAUUAAUAUCAUACAAUAGUCCAAAAUGUAGAUUAUUUUUCUGAGGAUGGGAUCCCGAAAAGGGUGGAUGUUACAACUCUCUUCAUGUUUUGGAUCUAAACAAAAAUUUAAGAACCAUUGCUCUAGGUCUAAAUCAGGUGGUCCCCAGACCAGACUUUGAAAAACAUAGCUCUACUUUCAGGAUACAUUUUAAUCUUUUUUGUUUGUUUGUGAACACUAGCUGACUUUGCUCUCCUGGGAGCUAGUUGAAACAUUUUGCACAGGCACCAUUUCUGAGCAGGGUGUCACUAACCCACUGCAGUGUGAUUCCUACUUAGAAGCAGUGCCUUAGAAAUCUCAGUUCCAUUACAUAAGGUACCUGGUACUUGCUGAUUAGGAAGAUUAACAGAGGUAAACAGCGGCUUUUAAUCUUUUCUAGACUUUCAGGCUCCUAUAAACCCAGAACAACUCUCCUGUCAAAAUAGAGAUAAAGAAGCUUAACUGAUGCACAAUUCUAUUUCUAAUAUUUCUGUGGCUUUUACAACUCACUGUAGGAUCUGGUUUUUGAGUACCUGUUCUGUAAGAUUUGUAGCUACUGUAUUUCCAUGUGGAGAGUAAGAAAUUUCUAACAUUGCCAGCCUAUGAUACAUAUAGCCAUAUGAAAAGUGGGAGGGCAUCAUUGCAAUGGAAAAACCAAUACCAAACUGAUUGUAAUCCCUGUUUAGGAUUUGUGGAAUACCUUUAUAUCUGUAAUUACUGUUAUGCUUUUUUUGGGUAGAAAAUAAAUCACACAAGUAUGCAGGAGAAAUGUAUUUAAUUGCUUUUUUCACAGUCAAUGCAACUAUGUCUCACACUAUUUCCCCAGUUAAUUUUCUACUCUAAUCAAAUGAUUGUCUACUGGGUCCCCAAAUACUUAAUUUUUAUCUAUACUUUACAUUUUUUCUCUGCCUUCUUAAAUUUGACUUGUUCAAAGUGCAGCUCAUUCUACAACCAGGACAUAACUUCCACUGCAUUUUUCCAUUAAAAUUUAGAAAGUGGUGUUUGUCUUUUUUUUUUUUUUUUUUUGAAGAAGUAUUCUACAGGAAGAAUUUUGAUAGCAGGAUAUCAUACACACUUCUGUUUAGAAUUAAAAAUAGUUAUGUGGUAGGUAUAGAAGAUUCUGCCAUAGAUAUGCAGAACUGAAUGCAAACUGUCUUUUUAAUCCGCAAAUGAAUUUAGUAAUAUAUAUUACAAGCCCUAAAAUAUCUAUGACCUUUAUGUAAAUAAUUCUGCCUCUAAAAGUUUGUAUUAAAAAUGGUCAUGGGGCCAUCAACAUUUUAAUUGUAAGGCUCUUCACAUAAAGUGGUAUUUUAAUA
rnacentral:lncRNA from 1 species